GUGCUUGCUUCGGCAGCACAUAUGCUAAAAUUGGAAUGAUACAGAGAAGAUUAGCAUGGCUCCUGCACAAGAAUGACAUGCAAAUUCGUGAAGUGUUUCAUUUUUUU
ensembl:snRNA Gm25937 predicted gene, 25937